rnacentral:rRNA from 1 species
AUUGAACGCUGGCGGAAUGCUUUACACAUGCAAGUCGAACGGCAGCACGGGGCAACCUGGUUGCGAGUGGCGAACGGGUGAGUAAUACAUCGGAACGUGCCCAAUCGUGGGGGAUAACGUAGCGAAAGUUACGCUAAUACCGCAUACGAUCUACGGAUGAAAGCGGGGGAUCGCAAGACUUCGCGCGAAUGGAGCGGCCGAUGUCAGAUUAGGUAGUUGGUGGGGUAAAGGCUCACCAAGCCGACGAUCUGUAGCUGGUCUGAGAGGACACCAGCCACACUGGGACUGAGACACGGCCCAGACUCCUACGGGAGGCAGCAGUGGGGAAUUUUGGACAAUGGGCGCAAGCCUGAUCCAGCCAUUCCGCGUGCAGGAUGAAGGCCUC